rnacentral:rRNA from 1 species
UACAGAGGGGGCAAGCGUUGUUCGGAAUUACUGGGCGUAAAGGGCGCGUAGGCGGCCUGCUAAGUCGAACGUGAAAUCCCCGGGCUCAACCCGGGAACUGCGUCCGAUACUGGUUGGCUUGAAUUCGGGAGAGGGAUGUGGAAUUCCGGGUGUAGCGGUGAAAUGCGUAGAUAUCUGGAGGAACACCGGUGGCGAAGGCGGCAUCCUGGACCGAUAUUGACGCUGAUGCGCGAAAGCCAGGGGAGCAAACGGG